UGGUGGUAAAUUUCAUCAAAGGCUAAAUAUAUGAGGGGACUAAUAGCGAACAAGUACCAUGAGGGAAAGUUGAAAAGAACUCUGAAGAGAGAGUUCAACAGUACGUGAAACCAUAUUGAGUAAAACAGAUAACUGUGUUGUUAUGUGGUGCGUCUAUCAACAGCGUAUUCGGUGUUGUGAUGCUACGAGUGUGAGCUGUUUAUUCAGACGAUCGCUCGUGGUUAACAUAACUGGAGGCUCUGUGUAUUAGUGCGUACUCAAUCAUCGAGAAACCAUGCUACUGCGGCAUCGGCGUACUUCAGUCCGCACCUAGUGCGAGGAUGGACGUUGGGCUCUGCUAGUGGCGUGGUUUAGCUGUGUGACAGCUGUGAGAUACGUUUGCUGAACGUGCCUGCUUUAUCGGUAAAUCGGUUUAUUCCUUUUUGCUGUGAGUAUGGUGCGGUAGGUGAGUGUCUCGCCAUCGAUGUGUUAACAUUAGUUAUUUGACCCGUCUUGAAACACGGACCAAGGAGUUCAAAUGGCACGCGAGUCAUUGGGUUUAAGCACCCGAAGGCGAAGUGAAAUGCAAUUCUUUAUCGUUACUCGUAGUUGUUCUGCGAUUAAGCGAUAAGCUACUCAUGCUUUCUGGCAUUUGUAGACUAAAAGCGUGAUGUUUGAGACCCGAAAGAUGGUGACCUAUGCCUAGUCAAGAUGAAGCCAGAGGAAACUCUGGUGGAUGUCUGAAGUUAUUCUGACGUGCAAAUCGAUAAUCUGAUCUGGGUAUAGGGGCGAAAGACUAAUCGAACCAUCUAGUAGCUGGUUCCUUCCGAAGUUUCCCUCAGGAUAGCAAGCGUAC
rnacentral:ncRNA from 1 species